rnacentral:rRNA from 1 species
UACAGAGACCCCAAGCGUUAUCCGGAAUCAUUGGGCGUAAAGCGUACCGAUAGGUGGUUUAUUAAGUUUUGGGUAAAAGCCAGAAGCUCAACUUCUGCGUUUGCUCAAGAUACUGAUAGACUAGAGGGGCAAAGAGGUCCUUGGAACGAACGGUGUAGUAGUGAAAUGCGUUGAUAUCGUUCGGAACACCGAAAGCGAAGGCAGAGGACUGGGUGCCACCUGACACUACUAGGACGAGAGCGUGGGGAGCGAAUGGG